rnacentral:rRNA from 1 species
GACGAACGCUGGCGGCGUGCCUAAUACAUGCAAGUAGGACGCAGUUGCGAACGGGUGAGUAAAGCGUAGGUAACUACAUCUUAGAGGGGGGUAACUAAUGGAAACGAUAGCUAAUACCGCAUACUCGUAGAUGGACCUUCGUUGUAUUAGCUAGUAGGUUGGGUAAUGGCCUACCUAGGCAACGAUACAUAGCUGAGCCGGGAAGGUGGUCGGCCAAAACGGGAAUUGGGAAAGGCCCAGGACCCUAACGGGGGGAGGAAUAGGGGAAUUUCGGAAAAGGGGGGAAAGCUGGACGAGGAAAGGCGCGGGAGUGAAGAAGGGUUUCGGAUCGGAAAGCUCUGUUGGUAAGGAAGCGGUACUUAACCAGAAAGGGACGGCUAACUACGUGCCAGCAGCCGCGGUAAUAC